GACGAACGCUGGCGGCGUGCUUAACACAUGCAAGUCGAGCGGUAAGGCCCUUUCGGGGGUACACGAGCGGCGAACGGGUGAGUAACACGUGGGUGACCUGCCCUCAGCUCUGGGAUAAGCCUGGGAAACCGGGUCUAAUACUGGAUAUGACUCCAUGACGCAUGUUGUGGGGUGGAAAGCCUUGUGCGGCUGAGGAUGGGCCCGCGGCCUAUCAGCUUGUUGGUGGGGCGANGGCCUACCAAGGCGACGACGGGUAGCCGGCCUGAGAGGGCGACCGGCCACACUGGGACUGAGACACGGCCCAGACUCCUACGGGAGGCAGCAGUGGGGAAUCUUGCGCAAUGGGCGAAAGCCUGACGCAGCGACGCCGCGUGAGGGAUGACGGCCU
rnacentral:rRNA from 1 species